CGUCACAGGCGGCUCCACUUCUCCGCUGGUGCGGCGGCGACGGCGACGGCGACGGUGCCCCGCGCGCCGGAGAAGGCCCCGCGCCGCAUCUACGUCCGAUGGCCUCCUACCAGAAACCUGUGACAUUCCUAAUCGGUCUUUUGGUGAUAUGGACGAACACAACAGACCCAGCUUAACCAUUGGACAAUGAGGCAGCCCUAACUCUGGGGUGUUGGCACAUAAACCGUCAUUUCCUUGAAGGGACACCCUGCUAGCAUUUCUGAAAAUGCCGGUUGAUGGAACAGGUCCAUCAAAAUCAUUAAAAGAUAGAUUAAGAUCCU